rnacentral:rRNA from 1 species
AGAGUUUGAUCCUGGCUCAGAACGAACGCUGGCGGCGUGCCUAACACAUGCAAGUCGAACGAGAAAGGGGCUUCGGCCCUGAGUAAAGUGGCGCACGGGUGAGUAACACGUGGGUAACCUGCCUCUAAGAUUGGGAUAACCUGUCGAAAGACGGGCUAAUACCAAAUGAGACCACGGCUUCUUCGGGAGCUGAGGUCAAAGGUAGCCUCUAUUAUAUAAGCUAUCGCUCGGAGAUGGGCCCGCGCACCAUUAGCUAGUUGGUGGGGUAACGGCCUACCAAGGCAAAGAUGGUUAGCUGGUCUGAGAGGAUGAUCAGCCACACUGGAACUGAGACACGGUCCAGACUCCUACGGGAGGCAGCAGUGGGGAAUAUUGCGCAAUGGGCGAAAGCCUGACGCAGCAACGCCGCGUGAGUGAUGAAGGCCUUCGGGUCGUAAAGCUCUGUCGGAGGGAACGAAUGUUCUUGAGGUUAACAGCCUCGGGAAGUGACGGUACCCUCAAAGGAAGCACCGGCUAACUCUGUGCCAGCAGCCGCGGUAAUACAGAGGGUGCAAGCGUUGUUCGGAAUUAUUGGGCGUUAAGGGCGUGUAGGCGGUCUGCUAAGUCAUGUGUGAAAUCCCUCGGCUUAACCGAGGAACGACGCAUUGAAACUGGCAAGCUAGAGUACCAAAGAGGGGGGUGGAAUUCCCGGUGUACGGUGAAAUGCGUAGAUUUCGGGAGGAACACCGGUUGGCGAAGGCGGCCCCCUGGUUGGAUACUGACGCUGAAACGCGAAGCGUGGGGGAGGCAAACAGAUUAGAUACCUGUAGUCCACCUGUAACGAUGGGCACUAGGUGUCCGGGGUAUUUGACCCCCCUGGGUGCCGCAGCUAACGCAUUAAGUGCCCCGCCCUGGGGAGUACGGUCGCAAGAUUAAACUCAAAAGGAAUUGACGGGGGCCCGGCACAAGCGGUGGGAGCAUUGUGGUUCAAUUUCGACGCAACGCGAAGACCUUACCUGGGCUAGACAACGCGGACCGUCCUAGAAAUAGGAUCUUCCCUUCGGGGACUGCCGUUCAGGUGCUGCAUGGCUGUCGUCAGCUCGUGCCGUGAGGUGUUGGUUAAGUCCCGCAACGAGCGCAACCCUUGCCCUUAGUUGCCACCAUUCAGUUGGCACUCUAGGGGGACUGCCGGCGUUAAGCCGGAGGAAGGUGGGGACGACGUCAAGUCAUCAUGGCCCUUAUGUCCAGGCCACACACGUGCUACAAUGGACGGUACAAAGGGUUGCAAAACCCGUGAGGGGAGCUAAUCCCAAAACCGUUUCAGUUCGAUUUGAGUUGCAACUGACUCAUGAGCUGGAAUCGUAGUAUCCGAUCAGACCCCGGUGAAUACGUUCCCGGGCUUGUACACACCGCCCGUCACACCAUGGAAGUCAGUGUACCGAAGUCGGUGAGUUAACCCGCAAGGAGACAGCCGCCUAUGGUAUGACUGUGACUGGG